UUCAACACUGUAUUUAAGGAGGCCAGACCC
rnacentral:piRNA from 1 species